CCGAAUUGUCUUGGAGUGGCCACAGGAGGCGGUGUGUGUGGUGGAGAGGAGGUGAAGGACCAGCAAAAGGGAAUUAGGUUUUAUGGCCCUCACCUGCUUUCUGUUGGCAUGCGUUGCCUCAUUUUCGUUUGUUUGGUGUGGCGUGGUGUCCGGUUUCCCCGUGGCUUCUUUUUCCUUGUUGGAUGUUUGCUUGUCUUAAGGUGACGGGCAGCCUUAUAGAUGAUCCGUAAUAUAGCACCCCUCGGUGACGGAACGAGGUACGUUUGCCUUUUGUGAUUUAGUUGUUGUGAUAAUUGUAAGUUUCCUGUUGAUGAUGUAUUGUAAAUAAAUUGUUUUUUUUGUAUCUGUUUUUAAGUUUUCACGGUGCACAAUGAAGUGGAAAUAAAGAGUUGAAGCACCUGUCGAGACUCCCGUUUAUUGACCCAGGGGCAGCUACAGUGAAAACUCGACCAUCGGAAGAGUAAGGCUUCAGCUAAGAAAAUCAACGUUAUUGCACAAGUAUUUGAUAACGGCGGUCCGGCCCAGUGUACGCCCCUUUCGCGCACCGGCGAGCUCAGCCAAUGGACGGUAUUUGUUACGCUUCUAGUUCAAGCGAACUGGGUAGCGAUACAUAAGAGACUGGUGAUAAAGCCUAUGAUUAAGUGCUUAAUGUUUAGGGUUUGAAUGUGUUUUAUAAUGUAUUCCUUUUCUCCUUUUUGGGGUUGAAGGGUAAAGUUAUAUUGAUUAAAAUAUUUGUAGUUUA